AAAUAAGGGCGUAUGGCGGAUGCCUUGGCUCUCAGAGGCGAUGAAGGACGUGAUAAGCUGCGAUAAGCUGCGGGGAUUAGCACAUAUGAAUUGAUCCGCAGAUUUCCGAAUGGGACAACCCAAUAUAUUGAAGAUAUAUUAUUCGAAAGAAGGCUAACCCGGAGAACUGAAACAUCUAAGUACCCGGAGGAAGAGAAAACAAUAGUGAUUCCGCAAGUAGUGGCGAGCGAACGCGGAACAGCCCAAACCAUAGCAGUUAAGGCUACUAUGGGGUUGUAGGACUGCAACAUGGACUUAUACAAUGAACAUGAACUGGGUGGGAAACCAGACCAAAGAGGGUGAGAGUCCCGUAACGGAAAGUUGUAUAUACCUAGCAGUAUCCUGAGUAGGACGGGACCGGAGAAAUCCCGUUUGAAUCCACCGGCACCAUCCGGUAAGGCUAAAUACUCCUGAGAGACCGAUAGUGAACAAGUACCGUGAGGGAAAGGUGAAAAGUACCCUGAAUAAGGGGGUGAAAUAGUACCUGAAACCAUACGCUUACAAACGGUCGGAGCAGCUUUGUGCUGUAACGGCGUGCCUUUUGCAUAAUGAGCCUACGAGUUACUUUUUCUGGCGAGGUUAAUCUGUGAAGCAGAGUAGCCGAAGCGAAAGCGAGUCUGAAUAGGGCGUUUAGUCAGGGGAAGUAGACGCGAAACCUUGUGAUCUACCCAUGGCCAGGUUGAAGUUCCGGUAACACGGAAUGGAGGACCGAACCAGUAAGCGUUGAAAAGCUUUUGGAUGAGCUGUGGGUAGGGGUGAAAGGCCAAUCAAACUGGGAAAUAGCUCGUACUCCCCGAAAU
rnacentral:rRNA from 1 species